UACGUAGGGGGCAAGCGUUGUCCGGAAUCAUUGGGCGUAAAGAGCUCGUAGGCGGCUUGUCGCGUCGUCCGUGAAAACCUGCGGCUCAACUGCAGGCUGGCGGUCGAUACGGGCAGGCUGGAGUUCGGUAGGGGAGACUGGAAUUCCUGGUGUAGCGGUGAAAUGCGCAGAUAUCAGGAGGAACACCGAUGGCGAAGGCAGGUCUCUGGGCCACUACUGACGCUGAGAAGCGAAAGCAUGGGGAGCGAACAGG
rnacentral:rRNA from 1 species